CAAAACAUGAGAAGAUGUGUUAAACAAGUUUGUCUGCAUCACUUGACUGCUCUAAAAAGCAGAAUAAUCUGUCUUCACAUGAAUCCCUCUCUGUGUCGAAGUGCACUGAACAUAAAUGCUUGGGUCAUAAUGAGGAAACAGGAAAGUAGUUGUGCAAGCAGUCACGGCUGAACCACUUUCUCUAAUAUAGUUAUACAUUGGACCUUUAUUUUCUUUUAUUUAUUUAUUAUUUGUCAGCACGGUCUAGAUAACUGUUGUUGGUGUGAUCAGAAGCACUGAUAAAUCCACAAUCGACAUCCAGUGUAAGGUGGAUGACAUGACGGCGGCUCCCAUGGAUGUGAAGCAGUGGAUCGACACCGAGGACAUGGGUGUUGAUAACUCAAUCACUCCUCCAGGCUCCUACGUCAAGGUCUCAGGCAACCUUCGCUCUUUUCAUGUCAGAACGAUAACCGAUCUUUGUUUGCGUUCAGCGUCUGAGUGCUGGAGGGUAUUAAUGAAGUAACUUCA